AUGGUGGAUUAUUAUGAAGUUCUGGGCAUGCAGAGACAUGCCUCACCUAAGGACAUUAAAAAGGCGUAUCGGAAACAGGCACUUAAAUGGUAUACGAACAAAAAUCCUGAAAAUAAAGAAGCAGCAGAGUGGAAAUUCAAGCAAGUAACUGAGGCAUAUAACAUAUGAUCAGAUGCAAAAAAAAAAAAAAGUGGGACAUCUAUGACAAAUACGGAAAAUAAGGAUUUAAUGGUGAAUGAGGAGGAGGUGGAAGUCAUUUCAACAGUCCGUUUGAGUUUGACUUCAUUUUCCAGAAUCCAGAUGAUGUCUUCAGGGAAUUUUUUGGUGGAAGGGACCCAUUUUCAUUUGACUUCUUUGAAGACCCAUUUGAUAACUUUUUGGGAGCCGAAGGGCUUCCCGAAGAAAUAGAAGCUGAGGUUCAGGCUCGUGGAUUUGCCUUCAGUGGAUUUCCUUCUUUUGGGGGUGGAUUUCCUGCUUCUGAUACAGGAUUCAGUUCGUUCCGGCCACUAGGACACGGGGGUCUCACUUCAUUCUCGUCAGCAUCAUUUGGUGGCAGCGGAAUGGGCAACUUCAAAUCAAUAUCAACUUCUACUAAGACAGUUGUUAAUGGCAAAAAAAAAAAAAUGACUACAAAGAGAAUUGUGGAGAACAGUCACAGAAGCUGAAGAAAAUGGACAGUUAAAGUUCUUGACGAUAAAUAGUAAGGGGCACCUGCUAUGCUUGGAUAACAAGUAA